UAUCAGAUUUAGAUUGUAUUGAGUAUACAGUCCACACCAUAUCUAUUUAGACAGUGAGGUAUCAGAUUUAGAUUGUAUUGAGUAUACAGUCCUCACCAUAUCUAUUUAGACAGUGAGGUAUCAGAUUUAGAUUGUAUUGAGUAUACAGUCCACACCAUAUCUAUUUAGACAGUGAGGUAUCAGAUUUAGAUUGUAUUGAGUAUACAGUCCACACCAUAUCUAUUUAGACAGUGAGGUAUCAGAUUUAGAUUGUAUUGAGUAUACAGUCCACAUCAUAUCUAUUUAGACAGUGAGGUAUCAGAUUUAGAUUGUAUUGAGUAUACAGUCCACACCAUAUAUAUUUAGACAGUGAGGAAUCAGAUUUAGAUUGUAUUGAGUAUACAGUCCACACCAUAUCUAUUUAGACAGUGAGGAAUCAGAUUUAGAUUGUAUUGAGUAUACAGUCCACACCAUAUCUAUUUAGACAGUGAGGAAUCAGAUUUAGAUUAUAUUGAGUAUACAGUCCACACCAUAUCUAUUUAGACAGUGAGGUAUCAGAUUUAGAUUGUAUUGAGUAUACAGUCCUCACCAUAUCUAUUUAGACAGUGAGGUAUCAGAUUUAGAUUGUAUUGAGUAUACAGUCCACACCAUAUCUAUUUAGACAGUGAGGUAUCAGAUUUAGAUUGUAUUGAGUAUACAGUCCACACCAUAUCUAUUUAGACAGUGAGGUAUCAGAUUUAGAUUGUAUUGAGUAUACAGUCCACACCAUAUCUAUUUAGACAGUGAGGUAUCAGAUUUAGAUUGUAUUGAGUAUACAGUCCACACCAUAUCUAUUUAGACAGUGAGGUAUCAGAUUUAGAUUGUAUUGAGUAUACAGUCCACACCAUAUCUAUUUAGACAGUGAGGUAUCAGAUUUAGAUUGUAUUGAGUAUACAGUCCACACCAUAUCUAUUUAGACAGUGAAGCUAACAUUUUAAAUGUG